GGGAGCUUUAAAAUAUACAGAUCCUUGCAUCCCAUGCUCAAAAAUCUAAUUCACUGAACCCCAAAACUGUAUUUUUUUAAAGUGACUGGGGUAAGGAUUUCUUACAGAGAACGUAAAAAACACUAUCCAUGAAAGAGAAGCUGAUACACCGUCCUUGAAACUAUAAAUGUCCAUUCAUUAAAAGAGAAUGAAAAGUCAACCAACAGACUGGGAGAAGAUAUUUUCAAUAUAUGUAUUCUACAAAGAUCUAGGACCAGCAUAUAUGAAGAAGUCCUACAAAUCAACAAGAACAAUUAAAAAUCAACAACUGAUUUUUUUUUUUUUAGGUAAAAAAAGACACAGACACUUCACCAAUGAAGAUAAAUGAAUGACCAUAUACAUAUGAAAAGCUUAACUCAUAACUCAUCAGGGAAAGGUAAAUUAAAACCACAGCGACAUACGAUCACCAGUAGCACUCUAGUAUUCAACAAGCAACUUUCCAGGAAUUAAAGCUUUUCUUUGGCGUCAAUACUCCCAUGAGGGCUGACGUUAAGCCAAGGUGACUUCGCUGAUCGCAUAAUGAGGAAGCGAUGUAGACAAUGGACGUUUACAAGCCACACAGGCUGGUUCCAGCACAUCACUGAGACCACUACACAACUGCCAUGAAGGCUAAAAUGAAAAAGUCUGACCAUACCAAGUGCUGGCUUAGUUGCUAACAUCUAGAAGAAAACAGCUUCUGCUCUCUUUCUUCGUCCAAGAGGACAAGACCUCCUGACCAGAAAUCAAGGCACAGCUGAGGCUGACUGAGCAGAUGCUAUUCCCUGCACUGGAAGGGAGGGCCAGCGUCAGGCAUGACCUUUGCUCCUUGGUGCCGCCUCCUUCACCACCCACCGCCAGCCUGCUCGCCACCUUGGGGCCAUUAGCAUUUUUAAGGUUCUUAUUCCCAUACACAUCCUGCCCUGGGAUUGUCUCUUCCUCGAGGUAUUAGCACCUUCCACUUGCCUUUUAUCACCCCAGCCCCGCCUGCCUGGGGUCAGCCUUCAAUCCACAAGCGUCUGGGGAAGAGCCAGGAAGCCUGCUCACACUCCUUUCACAGUUCAUCCCUUUCCGUCGGAGGCAUGUCCUGAGGUCCCGAGCCCCCUCCCACCUUUUCUCCCUUCCCCCCCACGAGAGGUGUUCCCAUAAUCAUUGGGCAUCAGUCGGCUCUAAUCAACCCCCUGUUUUGACUAUUUUAGCAGCAAUAAAAGGGCCAUAAAGAGAAAG